rnacentral:lncRNA from 1 species
ACAGUCCAUUCACUUUUUCCAUCACUUUCGUAUUGUCAUUAUUGCAUUCAGUUCAUUUUUGUGUAGUCUUCUAGAGUGCCUCAUGUUCCACAAAGUCCCAUUCAUACUGGUAAUGGAUCCUAAUGCCUUUGGUACAUACCAAGAUUUGCUGUUGAAGUUUGUUUCAUUUAAAGUAAUGGAGGCAUUUGACUACAAACUACAUGAUAUUUCUUCUUUUUACCCCUUUUGGUUGGUACCAUUUACCAAGUCUCACAAUGCUCGUCUAGCUGUAGUCUUUUGUGAAGCUGUUUCUUUUUUAUUUUUAGUGUUUUGCUUUCUUCCUUUUCUCCCAUUUCGCAUUUCAUACUUUCUAAUAUACAGAUUGAAAGUGUCAUUUCAUACUUUCAUAUGUUAGUGACUCUGUCUCAGCAUUGGUUUUGUGUGUGUGUGUGUGUGUGAGAGAGAGAGAGAGAGAGAGAGAUAAACCACUGUUGUGCUUGCCACUAUUGAUCAACUUUAUGUGAAAAUGGACUUGAGUUCUGCUAUUGGAGUGGGUUAUUGUGAUAAUUGCAAACUGACAUCUGAUUUAUUGCUUAUAUUUCAGCUAUCGAGGUGGGGUUGAUAGUGAGGGUAGACCAGUUAUGGUCAUUGUGGGUGCACAUUUCCUUUUACGCUGUCUUGAUCUAGAGCGUUUUAUACUUUAUGUGGUUAAGGUAAAUAAUUAUUGCUUGCUUUCUUCAUUAUAUUUUCCUCAGGUAUAUGAUAAAUUAACUCCUGCAUCAUGUUUGCAAUAUGACUCACUGUUCCUGGGUAUUUGAUCCUUCUGGACUUUUCAAAUGUAAUAUUUCCAAAUUUCUAGUAAUAACUUGACUGUAAGAGAAUUUAUAUGCAUUUCAGGAGUUUGAGCCCUUGAUACAGAAGCCUUACUCCAUUGUUUACUUCCAUUCUGCUGCAUCUUUACAAGCGUGAGUAUUCCUUUAUCAACCUGUCAUCAACUUAGUUGAUCUUCUUUCUGUUGACUUGUGCAAGUGGGUAAAAUGUCUUUAAGAAAAUAAAAAGAACGUGUUUAUGAGUCCUUAUUGUACUUUAGCAGUGUGUACUUUGCAUCAAGGCACUAGUACACCUUAGAGAAAGAUGCAAAAGUCUGUUUUCAAGGGGCCUAGCUUGUUGCUGAAUUUGGCCCAUUUCAAUGUUGUCCAGUUAGAGGUACAACGUAUCCUCGAAUUUUAUUUUAUUUUAUUUAUUAAAGCUUAGAUACCCAACUGGAAACGAGUAAUACAGUGUCAAAACAAAAGGUUGGAAGUUUUAUGAUGGUUGAGUUAGUAGGUUUUACAUGAAAUGCACCCGCUCAAACUGGCUUGUGGUUUCUCACAUGUGGAACUGUAUUAUUGUACAAAUAGGCAACCAGACCUGGGAUGGAUGAGAAGACUACAGCAAAUACUUGGUCGAAAACACCAGCGUAAUCUUCAUGUAUGUGUUGUUCCCCUCUUGGCAUUUUCGUUUGAGCAGCCACCAUAGGUGAUAUUUACUGUUCUCUUAUCCAUGAGAAGACAUUUGGUUUGAAAUCUUCAUUUUGCAGGCUAUAUAUGUCCUACACCCCACCUUUGGCUUGAAAGCAGCUAUUUUCGCAAUGCAAUUAUUUGUUGAUAAUGUGGUAUGUAUUACUAAGAACUGAUGCUCUUUAUACCCCAUCCCACUAGCCCAGGAACAAGGACUAAUCAAUCUGGUAUCUACUCUAUUAUUCUUUCUUCAAUAAUUGGUUAUUUUUAUUCCGCUUGCUUGCUCAGUUUCUUUAAGGAUGUAUGCUCCAUGAUGGCCCUAGUUAGCUAUUAUAACGAAGUGGGUCUUUCAAGGUUGAGUGUGAAAGCUUUUUCCUUGUAGUUAUUGAGGAAAUAUGUCAUCAAAAGGAGCUAAACCCUCAGCUCCUCGAUCUUGUUUUGUAACAUUAGAGAGCUGAUUACUCU